UAGGCCGUGUUUGUUUUCCUUCAUAUAAGGACUAGAUAGGAAAAUAAAAGUCAAAUCUGACCACUAGUCAUGUUUGGAGGCCCAGAUAUGGUUGGGCCGGAAAUCUUGUGUCCUAUCAGACAUGGAUAACAAAUCCAUUUAGAAUGGUAUCAUAAAACAAAUCCAUCUUCUGAUUUCUCUCUCUCGACUCAUUCUGACCACGCAAAAUGCUCUAGACGUUCAUCUUGCUAAUCUGCUCCGUCCCAAUUUUCUGGCCAUUUUCGACUGCUUCCGACCUUCUCCAACCUUCUUUGAUCUCAUUCUGCUGUCUUUUAGAGUUAUCAUGGCUUCUAGUGCUGUUUCUUCUGAUGAUGAUAGAAGAAAAAUUUGGAUGUUUUUUUUGGUAAGGCUGCUGCAUGUACAUACACAAAUCAUGGGCGCAAUGAUGUUUUUGUAUUUAUGUGUUGUGGUGCAUAGAUCCCGCAAGAAAAGAAAGGUUUUAAGUGAUCGAACAUUUGUUAGGCAUGAUACUCUUCUAGAUAAGUUCAUAAAUUCAAGUGACACAACAUGUAUAAAUGAACUCCGGAUGGAUAGGAGGGCAUUUCACCUGUUAUGUGAAUUACUUCGUCAUGAUGGGGGGUUGACGAAUGAUGGUUCAGUCCCGGUAGAAGAGCAAGUGUGUAUGUUCCUACACAUUCUUGCUCACCAUGUAAAGAACCGUACAAUACAAGAUUGGUUCCAACGCUCAGGAGAGACUAUAAAUAGGUAUUUUAAUUCGGUUUUAAAAUGAGUGUGUCGAUUACAAGGUCAGCUACUAAAAGCACCAGAACCUGUGCGUGAUGAUGAGAGUGAUGCUAGAUGGAAACCGUUCAAGAAUUGUCUAGGUGCAUUAGAUGGAACAUAUAUUAGGAUGCAAGUACCUGAGGUUGAUAAGCCAAUAUAUCGAAUGCGGAAGGGGGAAAUUGCAACAAAUGUCCUAGGUACAUGUGAUCGAAACAUGAUGUUCAUCUUUGUGUUUCCGGGAUGGGAGGGUUCAGUCUCAGAUUCUAGAGUUCUUCGUGAUGCAUUGAGUAGGCCUAACGGAUUAAAAGUUCCCAGAGGUUUCUAUUAUCUAGUGGAUGCUGGAUAUGCAAAUAGUGAGGGCUUUCUUGCGCCAUAUCGAGGAACUAGUUACCAUAUUGAGGAAUGGGAGAGUCGUAGACAUCGUCAGCAGUACUUUAAUAUGAAGCAUGCCUCUGCAAGAAAUGUGAUUGAGAGAUGUUUUGGAGUUCUUAAGGGUUGUUGGGCUAUCUUAAGAAGUCCUUCCUUCUAUCCGAUAGAUACUCAGACACAAAUAAUCCUUGCUUGUUGUCUUCUGCAUAACUUUAUUAGAAGAGAAAUGUCUCAAGAUCCAAUGGAGCAACAAGUAAAUCUAAACUACAAUGGUAUAACGAGGGUGCAAAGUUCUAAUCGAUCUAAUAUGUAAUAUUAGUAGAAGAGAUGAAUCUCCAUCUGAUCAAUCGCAUACAUGGAUGGGAUGAUUUGGCUGAAAAAAUGUUUAAUGAAUGGAAGAGAAGACAAAGGCAAAGAGAAAGACAGAACAUGAUGAUCCAAUAGUUUCAUAUUGAUAAAUUUGCUGUUUGUUGAUAUUGA